GUGAGUGACUUCUGCAAGUGAAGCCCCCAAACACUGAUGCACGUAUUUGUAAUGUAUCAUCAGAGAGCAGACCCAAACACUGAUGCACGUAUUUGUAAUGUAUCAUCAGAGAGCAGACCCAAACACUGAUGCACGUAUUUGUAAUGUAUCAUCAGAGAGCAGACCCAAACACUCAUGCACGUAUUUGUAAUGUAUCAUCAGAGAGCAGACCCCCACUUCAGUAGGUUUCCCUUGGCCAGAGAGACAGCUAGGGUGGAGGUUUAGGACACACCUUCACUUUAUAAUGAUGUCAUGAUACUGUGUAAACUUUUUUUGUUUAGUACAUCAUUCCAUAUGUGUUCUUUCAUAGUUUAAAUGUCUUCAGUAUUAAUCUCCAAUGUAGAAAAUAAUAAAAGUAAAGAAAACACUUCUCAAAAAAAUUAAAGGUGUGUCCAAACUUUUGACUGGUACUGUACAUGACCGGUUAAACCCUAACCCAGGUAAAUAGCUACAGUCCCCAAAUACCCCAGAAAAUCGACAUAGCCCUAGAAUUUACUAUCCCAUCAAUGAUGUGAGAUUUUUCUUCUUUUUUUUUCUUUUCCUUGGCAUACAAUGUAAUGCUUCCACACGUACUGAGAUGUAAACAGACAUUUGGCAGUCAUGGGGCGCAGAAAAGGCGAAGACCCCUUAUAGCAGUUCAGCAGCAGGUAAGCAGUGUAUCCAUGAUUGUGAACGCAGAGUUGGCAUCAUGUGUAUCCAUGAUUGUGAACGCAGAGUUGGCAUAUGAUUGUGAACGCAGAGUUGGCAUGUACACUAUACGCUGCAUUACCUCAUAAUUUGCAUUUUGCCUAAAACUUUUGUGUGGAGAAUAUAAUAUAAUAUAUAUAUAAUACAGAAUAGAACAUCUUUAAAACCAAAUUUCAGCCAUCAACCGACAUGAUUUGGCAAUCCAUGGGCAACACUUGAUAAAUUGCAUCAGUUGGUUUCACCUAAGAAUGAUGAUGAUGAUGAUGAUGAUAAUAUCUUUGAUCCGCUUUGUUUUGUAUGUGUAACAGUGGGCCACUAUUUAAAGUCAUAUUUUAGUCUAGAGUUAGGAAUAGCCUCGGCCUAAUCCACAUUGUAGACUCACUGUCCCAAUCCUGGAGUCCUCCCUGGCCGAGAAGAGUGAUGAUUGGGAAGCAGUAUGCUAUUUGGCACACAGCCUAAACGGCCAGGCUUGUAAACACGAAGCCACUGGUGGACGAAGGGGGUUAGAAAACUGAAGAUAGUCUGGCUCAAGGUCCCACCGCUGGCUUGGGGACGCGAGACGCUAAGGCACCGCCGGGGGGUGAGGGUGGGGAGGGGGGGGGGGCACAGGGCUGGACUGAGGCACUGGAUGGCACCGAAUCCUCCGCCAACACGCAGUCGCUCUAGGCGAACAUAGUGAGGGAAAUCCACUGCAAAGAGGGAGAGGUAGAGAAUGAGAAGAGAGAGAGGGAGAGAGGGAGGUAGAGAAUGAGAAGAGAGAGAGGGAGGUAGAGAAUGAGAAGAGAGAGAGGGAGGUAGAGAACGAGAAGAGGUAGAGAAUGAGAAGAGGAAGAGGGAGAGAGAGGGAGGUAGAGAAUGAGAAGAGGGAGAGAGAGAGAGGGAGGUAGAGAACGAGAAGAGGGAGAGAGAGAGAGAGAACAUCAAUCAUGAAAUGUAGCAUUACACAUUACAUUUAUUCAUUUUGUUGCCCAAACACAGAAAGGGGGUAAAAGCUUUUACAGUUACAGUCCAAAAGAUUUACUACAGCUGCAACAGUGACCAUAUUUGCCAAGUCAUGCUUUCAAAGCAUGCAGCUGAUUCAUGUGGCCCUGAUCCCAGGUCCAACAUCCACUCCGGAGUUGAACCAGCGCCUGUCCAAAGCCCAUUGCCAGGGUUCUGUCCCGUUCUGGUUGGGUGGUUCCAGUCUGUGUGGCUGCAGUCUGGGGUCAGACUAGAUUGGCUAAGAGUUCAAACAAUUUGUCCCUUUUUUAGGGCUGGAUAAUAUUUGCCCUCCACGCCUCCACGCCCACCCCUGUGCCCCUGGUGUGCAGACAUGACGAUGAGUCAACAACUCUCAAUCGAUUGGAGAGUGCAGUACUGUAUACAUGAUGCAAUUACUGAGCCCACGGAUUUCACUCAUGUAAACUUGACGGGUAUGAAGUCCUGACCACUUUAUUUAAUUCCUCUUAGGGGAUGGGUCCAAUAAAAAACCUCUGUCCCCGUUUACUGCCCGGACA
ensembl:lncRNA